rnacentral:rRNA from 1 species
AUUGAACGCUGGCGGCAGGCUUAACACAUGCAAGUCGAGCGGGGUGAUGGUGCUUGCACUAUCACUUAGCGGCGGACGGGUGAGUAAUGCUAGGAAUCUGCCUAUUGGUGGGGGACAACAUCGCGAAAGGGAUGCUAAUACCGCAUACGUCCUACGGGAGAAAGCAGGGGGUCACUUGUGACCUUGCGCUAAUAGAUGAGCCUAAGUCGGAUUAGCUAGGUGGUGGGGUAAAGGCCUACAAAGGCGACGAUCUGUAGCGGGUCUGAGAGGAUGAUCGCCCACACUGGGACUGAGACACGGCCCAGACUCCUACGGGAGGCAGCAGUGGGGAAUAUUGGACAAUGGGGGGAACCCUGAUCCAGCCAUGCCGCGUGUGUGAAGAAGGCCUUAUGGUUGUAAAGCACUUUAAGCGAGGAGGAGGCUCUUUUGGUUAAUACCCAAGAUGAGUGGACGUUACUCGCAGAAUAAGCACCGGCUAACUCUGUGCCAGCCGCCGCCGUAA